UGAUCUCAAAUCAGGUAGGACUACCCGCUGAACUUAAGCAUAUCAAUAAG
rnacentral:rRNA from 1 species